rnacentral:lncRNA from 1 species
CUGUUCUGUUCCUAAUUCAAGAUUGCUUUGUCUUGUCCUUUCUGAGCCUUGUUUACAUUACUUUUCCAAGAAACUGCAUGUAGCUCACCUUUAUCCCAAUUAACUGCCAAUAAAAGUCAGUGCCUGGGACUGGCCAGGGCCUGUCGGUUGUCCCUGCACCCCGCUUUCUCUCUCCUAGUUCUGCCUUUUAGUUUUAUUUCUCAGGCCUGCGUCGUAUACUGGGCAGGGUUCUGGAACCUAACUGCAGGAUCUCUAGUACUUGGCGCCCAUGGUCAGGGCUCAAACCAUGAGCAAUCACCUGCUCAGUAAGGCUACUCGGAAUAAAAAGAAGGAGUCGACAAUGCCGUGCACCUCACACCAAGGUCAAGGACAAGCACAACAACCCAGAGAAAGAGUUUAGAGACCAAAACUAUAAAGGUAACUGGGCUAAGAAGACAGCCAAUAUUUUGGCCCUGGCCCUUCAAGGUCUACAAACAGCCCAGGUCAUGACAGAAUCUUUUCUACAAGAUCCUACAACUUUGGUAAGUCACCGAACCUCCUGAGCAGGGAGACUGUGGGACACCAAAAAAAGGUAAGGAUCUGCAAAUGUAAAGUUUGCCAAAGGAGUGUCACAUGAAGGGAAAAAUCUCCCACGCUUUCACAGAAAGCAACAUGGUCAAGCAAGGCCACGACCCAUCCCGAUGGCUGACACUGACAGGAGCUGAGCAGCUCUGCACAAGGCUCAAUGUGAUGCCUGUGGAGACUUAGCUGACCUUGACAGUUAGGAAGUGGUUAAUUUUAAUUAAUAUAGAUCAGUAGAAAAGCAUAAUCCAAAGAUAUAUGAAGUAAAGACCAUAGUAAUAAAGCUGGGUGUAAGAAGAGGCUCCAAUUGCUGACCUCUUGUGGCAGUUUCCAGCUACACUGCUGACUCGCCCGUUAUAGGUCAUUAGAAGAGACUAUGGUAAAAUUUAUAGACAUCAACAAGAGUUUUUAGAAUUUUUAGCUAAAAUUGUUUUUUAAAAUUAUUAAAUUUUCAAUCUUUUUACAGCUAAAAUUAAAAGAAAAAUUAUGACAAAAUAUCAGACCAAUGGCUGGUCCGAGUACAGUGGUGUUUACAACUAAUUGAUCACAACCAGUUACAGAUAAGCUCCAUUAGUAAAAGGGUCUAAGAGUCAGCAGGUUCCACUCACUAUUUUAGUCCUUUAAAAACAGUUUCUAAACACGGCUCUUUCCCCAACCUGCAUUUUUUAUUUUAGUACUUAUACUUUGAUUAUACAUGCUCUAAUUUAAGAAAUUGUUUGUUCUUGCAUAUAGGCUGCCAAACUCCAAGUGAUCAUAUAGAUAAAAUCAACAAGAAAUGUGCUAAUUUUUUUAACCAAAAUCCACCAGACUGACUUUAUAAGAGUUUAUAGUUGCUAAAUUACAACAUAAUUUUUAUUUAAGGCUAUUAAAUUAGCCCCCUAAAGAGAGCCCCUAACUGUGGUCUUCCCUACACCGACACUUCUCAGCUCAAAAGAGAUUAAAACUAUGCUCUUUCUCCCCUAACCACAGCUGGAGAUGCUCUUUAUAAAAAAAAAUUAUUAUAGGCAACUAAGUCAGUUAAACACAUUAUAUAUCCUCGUGACAUAAGUUCAUUAAAUACCUCUCAGGGACAAGCCAUUGUUGGGCAUACUCACCUUUCCCUAAAAACACAAUCACAUAAACAAAGGGGGGGGGGGUCAGCUACCUCCAUAAGUUCAAUUAGAUCUUGUUAUUUUCAUUUUAAAUGUUUAAAAUCCACUUAUGGAAGCUAAAUAUACUCCACUGAAACUUCAUUAAUACAAAGAUAGAUCUACAGACAUGGCCUAGACACUAGUGUUGUCAAAGUAUGUCCUAACUAAAAGGUAAAUGGCUAAAAACAAUUAAUAACAUAGGGGCCAGAAUAUGCUUUUUUUUCAACAGAAAAUAAGAUGCUGUGACCAUCAUCCCAGAAUGUACCACCACGGACCAAGAUGAUAGAUUUGCUGCAAGCAGCACAAUGUGACCCCCGCUGAGGGCCAUGCAAAAGCUACAUGUGAGUGACUCUCCUCGCCUGCAACAGCCCUUGGACCUGCAAAGAUCACCAGACCUAACGCAGCUGACGUUUUCAACAGAGAAGAGGGAGAUGCAGAGGACUAUAAUAUUGAUUAUGACCAAAGCAGACUAAAGAGCUAACCCCACAAUCAGCUUGUUUAUAGAAAUGAGUCCAAAGCCCAUGUGCCAAGGUCAGAGUAACUCGCACCCAAAUUCCAUUCCCACAACUAAAACCUCCUGACUAGAAAGACAAUGUUCUAAUUACAAUCAUGUAUUUGUCUAUUCUGUUCCUAAUUCGAGAUUGCUUUGUCUUGUCCUUUAUGGGCCCUGUUUACAUUAAUUUCCAUAGGAAUUCCACACAGCUUGCUUUUACCCCAAUUAACUGCCAAUAAAAGUCAGUGCCUGGGACUGGCCAGGGCUUUGGGUGGUUGCACCAGCACUGGUCGGUCCUGGCCCCCUUUCUCUCUCCUAGUUCUGCCUUAGUUUUAUUUCUUAGGCCUGCGUCGUAUACUGGGCAGGGUGCUGAAACCUAACUGCAGGUGUCUCCAGUAACAGCACAGCA